rnacentral:rRNA from 1 species
CCUACGUGAGGCAGCAGUGAGGAAUAUUGGUCAAUGGGCGCGAGCCUGAACCAGCCAAGUAGCGUGAAGGAUGACUGCACUACGGGUUGUAAACUUCUUUUAUAAAGGAAUAAAGUGAGGCACGUGUGCCUUUUUGUAUGUACCUUAUGAAUAAGGAUCGGCUAACUCCGUGCCAGCAGCCGCGGUAAUACGGAGGAUCCGAGCGUUAUCCGGAUUUAGUGGGUUUAAAGGGAGCGUAGGUGGGUGUUUAAGUCAGAUGUGAAAGUGUGCGGCUCAACCGUAAAAUUGCAGUUGAUACUGGCAGUCUUGAGUACAGGUGAGGGAGGCGGAAUUCGUGGUGUAGCGGUGAAAUGCUUAGAUAUCACGAAGAACUCCGAUUGCGAAGGCAGCUUACUAGACUGCCACUGACAUUGAUGCUCGAAAGUGUGGGUAUCAAACAGGAUUAGAUACCCCUGUAGUC